UCCACAGCAUGACUUCUCUUUUUUCUUAUUAGUCAGAGUUAGGAGACAAGCUCAUUCUUGAAGCAAUAACAUACAAGGAGGAAGAAAUUACCUUUGUACCAAUAAGGCAGACACCUGGAGUUGGAAGUGGGGUCAUCUUCCCUUGAGUCAAAACCAACCUUCUAAGACCAGGAAAAGGAAUUAUUCACAGAGCCUGUUUAUCAAAGAAUGCUUUACCCAGGAGGUACACUAUUGGGAUGCACUUACUUUUAAAAAAUGGCACCUACACGAUUAUUCACUCUGGUGUUUUGAUCUAAUCCAUAGUUAGGAAAUCAGUUUCAUUUUAUACUGUUCCUACAAUCACACACACACAUUUUAUAAAAUCAUAUGGUAACUUUGCAUUUUUAAUCUUUUAUAACAUUAGUGCAAUGAGUUUGAUCCACUUGAAACUCCAGGUACUUAAUGCUUUUCUAUGAUAAUGGAAAUGGCAGAAGAGAACAGAAAGUUAGGUUUGAAGAACAAGGGAUCAAACCAAGAAGACCUUGCUUGGUUGCUUGAUAACUGAAUGACAAGAUCAUAUGUGGCAGUCGCACUAUUAGAUCUGAAGUGAAAUCAUGAGCAGGUUAUAGAAAAGUCCUUGUAUUCUUUCAGAAGCCAUUUAACAAGCAGCAAAUAAGAGUGGAGUUGGACUAUGACAGGAUAAUAGAUUUUUCUGCCAGGAAAAAAAAGAUGUGCAGUCAUUACCUCAAGGAACAAAGAAUGUAAAGAGGAGCUUAAAACUGAGACUUUGUUCUGGAAAGCAUUUCUGUGGUGACCCAGUGUGACUUCAAACAAUGCAAGUUGACCUAGCUCUUCACCUUACCUCAGGACUUCUCAGAUGGCCCACGAGGGUCAACACACAAACCAAAAGUGCUGGAGAUUGCAAGUCCCAUCAGCUGGUUUUUCCACACUGGGAUCUGUCUGUGGGUGACCUCUGAGUCAUUUGCUAGAGGCAAAGGCUUCCAUUUUCUUUGCGUAGUGGUAACCAGAGAAGGAUGUGGAUAUUGCUCAAAGAGAAGUAAGUGGCUUUAAGCCUCUGUUUAAAAAUCCUAAGUUUUUGGUUUAAAUGCUGUUUUGAGGAGUUCAUUAUUGAAAAUAUACUUCUGCUUUCAGAAAAUGCCCAAGCUCUGCAUCAAAGGCAAGCUGCUGAUUGCUAAGGAUGUGGUACAAGAGCAAGCCAAUCAUUGAUUAUAAGAAAAGGGGAAGGCUUCCAGCUAGUUAAUGAAGCAACCUGCUAACAGUUUUCGGGUUGGAAAAAGUGAUCAAGGACUUUCUUUUACACAAACAGCAUCAUUUGAUUGUUCUCACUCUCUCAUCAUCAGAAGAUUUGUGCAAUACAGUGAGAUGUUGUAGAAAGAGCCUGCAUGGGAUUUGCCAUUAGACCUGGGGCUGGGUUCCAGUUCUAUUCACUCAGUGCUUAUAAAACUUUGAGCAAGCCAAGCUUGCCAAGCCUCAGUAUCCUCACUUAAAAAACAAGAUUAACAGUAGUCACCAGUUCACCUGCUUAUUGUAAAAACUUCAGAUCUGUCAAAGGGCACUGUGAGCUAAAAAUAUCCUAAAUUAUCUAUGCAAAUAUCCAGUAAUAACUAGAGGGGAGGUGCUGAGAACCAGAAGUUUGCAUUUUUAAUUAAACGUAAGUCUUAAACAAGUUUGACAGAUACGAUGUGUAAGAAAUAGCAAAUAAGUUUAUAAUUGUACUCAAG
rnacentral:lncRNA from 12 species